UUAUAGUUUUUUAUUUUGAAAAUGAUAAAGUUUUGAAUGCGUUUUUCUCACAUUUACAUUUACAUCGUAGAUAAAAGUUGGUUGCAACACAUGGCAUUUGUUAUCCCACUAAUUUGCUGCUUUAGAGGCAUGGCAUUUAGUGUCACAUUAAUUUACUGUUUUAGACACAUGGCAUCUGGUAUCCCACUACACUUGGUAUAAGCUGUCAUACUAACUUGCUGUUUUAGACACGUGGCUUGUGAUAUCCCACUAAUUAGCGAUUUUAAACAUGUGACAAGUAAUAUGACACUGUAUUGAUGUAUGUGAAAUGUAUAGAGUCUUUCAGUUAUCAGAUAAUGUCAACGAGUUGACAGCAUGGUAUCCGAUUUAAAGUGCGAACCUGUGUACGAGUAACAACAGUAUUCAAAACCAAAACCUAUUUAAACCAACCAAACCAAAACUAGCGACCAAAAACUAAUAUCUUGGAAUUGGUUUAUUUUAAACAUCUAUUAUAUAUAUGUGUGUGUUUUAUAUAAAUGUACUAGCUUGA